UACGUAGGGUGCAAGCGUUAAUCGGAAUUACUGGGCGUAAAGCGUGCGCAGGCGGUUUGUAAGUCAGAUGUGAAAUCCCCGGGCUUAACCUGGGAACUGCGUUUGAAACUACAAGGCUAGAGUGUGACAGAGGGGGGUGGAAUUCCGACGUGUAGCAGUGAAAUGCGUAGAGAUGUGGAGGAACACCGAUGGCGAAGGCAGCCCCCUGGGUUAACACUGACGCUCAGGCACGAAAGCGUGGGGAGCAACAGG
rnacentral:rRNA from 1 species